UUGUAUGGUCAUACCAUGCUAGACACACUCGUUCACUUCUGAUCUCAGAUGCUAAGCAGGGUCGGGCCUGGUUAGGACUUGAUAGGAGAAUACAAU
ensembl:rRNA 5S_rRNA 5S ribosomal RNA